rnacentral:rRNA from 1 species
UACGUAGGGUGCGAGCGUUAAUCGGAAUUACUGGCGUAAAGCGUGCGCAGGCGGUGAUGUAAGACAGUUGUGAAAUCCCCGGGCUCAACCUGGGAACUGCAUCUGUGACUGCAUCGCUGGAGUGCGGCAGAGGGGGAUGGAAUUCCGCGUGUAGCAGUGAAAUGCGUAGAUAUGCGGAGGAACACCGAUGGCGAAGGCAAUCCCCUGGGCCUGCACUGACGCUCAUGCACGAAAGCGUGGGGAGCAAACAGG